UCCAGUGACAGUGACACUGUUCUCUGUCCAGGUUACUUUGGCUCCCAUUUUCUCAAGAACUUCAGCAAACUUUACAUCCCCCUGUAAACUACUGGUGCCACAACCUUCAACAGUAACUGUCCCACCAGUGACGGCCGCACCAGCAAGGAAGUAACUUGCACUUGAAGCAUCACCUUCUACAUAAGCAUGUCCAGGAGACUUGUAUUUUUGGCCCCCACGCACCAAGAAUCGAUCCCAG
rnacentral:misc_RNA from 1 species